AAGUAAACGCCGGUAGAGUCGGGAGGGUGCUGUCACUCUGGAGCUGAGGUGGUCAGGGAAGGGAUCGUUGUGAGAAGAGGAGAUCAGGGAGGUCUCGCGGCGAACGCGACUGCCUUUCAAGGACGCAAGGAUCUGCUUUACCUGCUCUGCAGCACGUGGCAUUGUAUAUUGGUCUGGGAAGUGUCCUGUUAUUGGCAAGUAGUGCAUGGCACUGAACGUCCGCGCUGGGAACAUUCAAGUCUUUUGGCACCUCUGGAAGUAAUGGCUCGCGACCUGAUGCUCCGUAUGCUUCUUUGCCCCCAUUCCUCUGAACCCCAUCUAAAGAGAACAGAAACAAACUGAGAUGCAGCUUUUUUGCUGUCAGUAGCCAGUGAAGACAAAGAAAAGACCAAGUGUGGCUCUUAUUUUAAACUAUAACUUCUAAAACCUACCAUCUAAUAUACUGUAAAACCAAGAUGACAAAGCUCUUUGGCAGCUGAAUAGGGAGUGGGAGGACAAUUUGAUGGAGCAAAAUCAUAGAUAAAUCACAGUAGAUAGCUACCAUCAAUUGGAGUCUCUCACCUUAAACUUCAGAACACAAAGUUAUAUAAGGUAAUUGAAAGGUAGCCUGUUACUUAGCACCUAGUGAAAGUAAUUACCCCCACUUGAUUUCCCUCAUCAAACCAGUUGCUAAUGAGACUUGGGACAGUCUUUCCAUCUAUAGAAACUUCAUUUUUCUUUUAGAGGUGUAGUAGGGGAAAGUGGGUAAUAGUCAAAACAUCUGUACACCAAAUUCCAUCUGUAAAUGCAAAUUCUUGUGUGUAAAUAUACUUUUGGGGGACAGAUUCCUUACUUUUCCUCAGAUUAUAGGAUAUUCAUUUGAUUCCUUGUAUGACUAGGGAGCUAGAACUGCUUUUGUUGUCUCCCACAGAUUUUGGCAUGUUGUAUUUUCAUUUUCGUUUCUCUCUGGGUAUAUUUUUAUUUCUCUUUUGACUUCUUCAUUGACCCAGUCAUUGUUCAGUAGCAUCUUGUUUAAUUUCCACAUUUUUGUGGCUUUUCUGAUUUUCCUACCGUAGUUGAUUUCUACUUUCCUACCUUUGUGGUCAGAAAAGAUGCAUCGUAUUAUUUUGAUCUUAAAUUUAUUGAGACUUGUUUUGUGGCCUGAUAUGUGAUCAAUCCUGGAGAAUGUUCCCUGUGUAUUUGAAAAGAAUGUGUAUUCUGUGGUUUUUGGAUGGAAUGUUUUGUAUAUAUCUACUAAGUCCAUCUGGUCUAAUGUGUCCUUUAAGGCGAGUGUUUCCUUAUUGAUCUUCUGUUUGGAUGAUCUUUCCAUUGGUGUAAGUGGAGUGUUCAAGUCCCCUACUAU
rnacentral:lncRNA from 1 species